rnacentral:lncRNA from 1 species
CCUUGGUGUCUCCCUUGUAGCCGCCUCCUUUCUCCUUGGUGUGGGAUCCAUCUUUGGUGUCCCCCUUGUUGGUGUGAGGCAUCACACCAGCACCUCUCCUUCCUCAUUUGGUUGGGUUGCGAAGAUGAUUCGAUUAGAGUUUAUCCCGCUUUCUUAUAUUUUCUGGCAUGCAUGUGAAGUAGAAGGUCUGUACUUUUAGGCCUCCACGAAGGUUGAUUCUAGAUUUUUAGAGAUUUGAUCCCC